GACAGCAUGGUGUAGUGGUUUGAGUGUUAGACUAUGACUCUUGAAAUCAGGGUCCAAAUCCCUGUUUAGCCA
rnacentral:tRNA from 1 species